UAAGUUUAAUAAAAUAUAGUGUAAACUACUAUUCCUACGCUUUCGCACUUUUUCACUUUUCUACACUAAAAUUUAAAAUAUAUCAAAUUAGUACACUGAAAUUUUAUUUUUCUUUUUUCGUCAGCUCUUUCGUUAAUAUUACAUUAAAUUAUAUACAAAAAGACUCGGAUACCCGACAUGGGUUUAUUGAAUAUUUAUUUUAGUACCCUUUAGUUUUAAUUUUAUCACUGAUUUGACGAAAAAAAAUUAAUGAAAUAGAUAAUAAAAAUAAAAUAAAAUCAUAAGGUAUUAAAUUUAUGCACUUUAAACCACUAAUACGAAAAUGAGAACGUGCGAAAUUACAAAAAUAAUAUUUAAAUUUUUUUUAUAAAAUAUAAAAUAAAAUAAAAUAAACUUUAAACCACUAAUACGAAAAUGAGAACGUGCGAAAUUACAAAAAUAAUAUUUAAAUUUUUUUUAUAAAAUAUAAAAUAAAAUAAAAUAAAAUAAAAUAAAAAGUACCAGGAUUUGAGAGAAAAAGAACUUGUCUAUCGUGCAAAUUAAUUGUUUUGUCCCAAAAGAUGUCAGUGUUGCUUGUAAAAGGUGGGGCCUCUCUAGCAUGGCCCAAGUGACCUAUCUUUACUAACUCGACAUUCUAAUCUAAUGCAGAAUCUGCGCAAACGGAUAUUAAAAUUUUAAAAUAAUAAAAUUUAGUUGGUUACCCUAUACUCUUGUACACUUUGAUUUGGCCAAUUAUUUAUUCAAUUAUGUUGGAAAUAAUAAUUCAAACUUAAUUAAAAUAUAAUUAGAGAUAAAUUUAAAUUUUUUAUUUGAUUAUGAUUGGAAUUUGUAAUUAUCCAAAGUAAAAUUGAAUUUAUCAUCUGUUAUGAUUUUAUCGCUAUAUAUAUUUAGGCAUGGAUUAAUUAGAUGAAUAAGCCAUAAUAGACAUGGCCGAGGGUGUCGUCACGGAUGUAAUUAUUUGCUUUCUAUUAGUAAAGUAUUAGUUUAGUUAUCUUCUUCAUCUUCCAAUAUCUCUUCUUUAUAUUAUUUUGUUCUAUUUUAGAUUUUGGAUUAUAUAAUCGGUAUCAGCAUAAAUACCGGUUCCAACAAUUGGUAUUAGAGAAAAUCACGCUUCCCAAUAAUUGGUAUCAGAGCCAAAGAGAGCCGAAAAGUAUAAUCCGACUUAUAAACCAGAUGACAGCAUAUUUGAAAAGAAUAUAGAUUCAAUGUACCGGAUAGCUACGUCAAAGUCAAGCGACUCAUAACUGAUCAACGAAAGUGACGUUCAGGUGAAACCAAAGCGAAAGAAUCGCUUUGAAGAAACUGGCCUCCGCACAACACACGACAGCAGGUGAUUAUGAUGCUUGACGAAAAGAAAGCGAGGAGAGCCUGUGAAGAGAUCCAAGAAGACUUGACCAGAUAGCCAAGAAGGCUAAGCAAGCAAGCCGAAAUACAGAAAAUUCGGCGAGAUAAGCAAGCAAGCCGAAAUACAUAAAAUUCGGCGAGAUCUCGAUAAACUAAGGACGUCAUCCAAAUCGAAAGGUACAAAUUUGAAACUUGUUUUUCAGGUUAUCAAGUUUUUGUUAUGGAUUUAGAUAAUUGGUUUAUUCAACCUAGUUUACCAAAGUUCAAUGUAACGAAUUUUAAACGAUAGAAAAUUAUUAUUCGAUGUUUUUUAGAAUAUCAAGAUUUGUGGGAUGUAGUAGAGAAUAGAAAUUAUGAAAAAGAAUUUGAUAAAGAAGAAUUUAGAAAAAGACAUAGAGAAGUUCUAUCAUAUAUUUUUCAAGCAAUGGAUCUAUCGUUAGUUGGAAAAAUUUCAACGAUAAAGACGACACGAGAAGUGUGCAGAAUGCUAUUGAAAAUUGGAGGAGAAGAUUUGCAGGAAGAGAAUGAAAUUCAAGAAGAAGAAAAAAUUCAACCCAAUAGUGAAGAUACUGAAGCCCCAAUUUGCAAAGAAUUUUGGAAAGAAAAGUCUGAUCAAAAUCAUGAAGAAGAAUAUAUUUGUGAAGAGUAUGUUAAUGAUGAAAAUGGUGCAAUUCAGAUCGACGAAAAAGUUCACAAUGACGAUAUGAUUAAAGAAAUUUCUGUUGAUGAAGAAAUUAUGCAGCAAAGUAGGGAGAAAGUUUACUAUUAUUUUGAUGUGUUCGAAGAUGAAAAUGCACAAAUCAAGAUCAAUGCAUUGAACAAACAUUCGCGUCGAUCAAACUCUCCUCGGUUACCACAAAAUUACAAAAUUCAUAUCAAUCCAAUUAUUUCAAAAUUAUAUGUUUUUUAAGAUAUUUGCAGGAAUCAGCAGAUCUUUAAGGAUGAUGUGAAUAAUCAAGGCUACAGAUGACAAAGAUUUCAACCAUGGCAACAUCAUUGGACAGGCGUCAUGUUGCACAACUCGAACACGACGACAACAAUGGCGACAGAAAUUGCAAAAUCAAAGUGCGCGUUUCACAGAAUUCGCAGUUUAAAGAUGAAGUUUGGAUUAAGGGAGGAUGUUGGAAAUAAUAAUUCAAACUUAAUUAAAAUAUAAUUAGAGAUAAAUUUAAAUCUUUUAUUGGAUUAUGGUUAGGAUUUGUAAUUAUCCAAAGUAAAAAUAGAUUUAUCAUCUGUUAUGAUUUGAUGACUAUAUAUUUAGGCAUGGAUUAAUUAGAUGAAUAAGCCAUAAUAGAUAUGGCCGAGGGUGUCGUCCCGGAUGUAAUUAUGUGCUUUCUAUUAGUAAAGUAUUAGUUUAGUUAUCUUCUUCCUGCUCCAAUAUCUCUUCUCUAUAUUAUUUUGUUCUAUUUUAGAUCUUAGGUUAUAUAAUCGGUAUCAGCAUAAAUAUUGAUUCCAACAAUUAGUAUCAGAGAAAAUCACGCUUCCCAACAAAUUAACAUGGUGUAAUUUAACUAUUGCUCUACGAGCUGUAGUAUAUUUUACUUUAUAUACAUAAAAAUUUAUCACUGUAUUAAUUACUAAGUAUAGUAAAUUAUAUAUAAUCAAUAUUUAUAAUUAUUUUUUAAAAUAUUUAAAAAUAGCAAAGCACGAGUUUACUACCAACAAAAAAAAAAAACUAAAUAACAUCAUGCCAUUAAGAGGUUAUGCGUAUUCAUUAGCACGUAAGCAUGCCAUGUGUUAGCACGGAGACGUGCCUGUGCCAUGCCGUAUCAGGCGACCACCGACACGCCUCUUUGCCACGAUGAUUCCUUGAAAUUUAUUAUGAUGUCUCUGCGAGAAAUUUUUUGUAUAGAAAAUUAUUAGAAUUUGAUAAUUCGGUAAGAAAAUAAAUAUAGAAAAUAAGGAAUACAUUAAUUUAAAUGAAUUAAAUAGGUUGGUUUAGAAAGAAUAUAAGAAGGCUGACAAGGUAAGGGAAGUACAAAAGCGACUAGCAUGCAGUUGAAUUGUUUAAGAAAUAGAAAUAACUGCUUCUUUAAAUAAUUUAAAUAAAUUGAUAAAAUGAUAGAAGAAAUUGAUAAAAUGAUAGAAAAAAAUAGGAGGAUCGGAGAAGGGAGAGUUAAGGAGACAUGCCACAUCGUUCUUGGACCCAUCAUUUAAUGGGCUUUUUUAUAACAUAAGUCUGUAAAAUUUUAAAAUUAGGGAAAUAAUCUUAUCAAAAUUUUAUUUGAAAAAUUAACUCUUCUUUCGCCGCGUAGUCACCACGUCAGAUUUUUAUUAUAAAUGCGGUGAAUUAUUCACCACCUUCAGAUAUAUAUAAUGAAAGCGGUGAAUCAUUCACCGCUUUUAUAAUAGAUAUGUAAAAGCGGUGAAUGAUUCACCGCCUUUAGCGCAAAAUAUCCCAAAUUUAUUGAAAUUUGUCUAAAUCCUAAAGUUAAACACAGAUAAUACGGUGAAUAAUUUACUGUCUUCAUAUAUAUAUAUUAUGAAAGCGGUGAAUGAUUCACUAUUUUCAUUAUAUAUAUGUAAAGGCGGUGAAUGAUUCCUCGUCUUUAUAGCAAAAUCCAACGUGACGAAAGGAGGGUUAGUUUUUCAAAUAAAAUUUUAAUAGGAUUAUUUUGCCAAUUUAAAAUUUUUGGAGGCUCAUUUUAUAAAAAAGCCCUCAUUUAAUAAAGUAGAAUAGGAGACACCACCAGGGAGGUACUAAUAGAGAUCUAGUUGAAAUAAUUCACACUACAACAAAAUUAGAUUAUAACGACAUAUUUUUAAAACACUUUUGUGUAAGUAUUCUAUUUAUAUUAAAUUUUUAAAAAAAAAUCUAGUAAGACUUAAAUAUAAAACUCAAUCCAAUAAAAACCAAAAAAAAUUUCUACUCAACCAACCCCACCUAGCCCACUCGACCCGAUUACAAAUAGAAAAUAAAAACAUAAUAAAAAAAAAAGAUCACCAUCUCCCCUUCUCCUCCUUCGCCGUCACAGCCGACGACAUAGGAUUCCAACAAUUGCUCGGCCGCGAGGAUCUCGCAGGUACCGUAGAGGGCUACGAUAGUCACAUGUUCCUCCGCCACAUGUCGUUGGAGGAGUGGAUGUCAAACAUCAAGACGGCCCCACAUAUAGUGACCCCACAUAUAUCAACACUUUUAAAUUAAAAGUGUCGGUAAUUUAACCAGCAGUACUUUUUUAACCUGUACGUACCGACAUUUAAAAGUGUCGCUAUACACUGUUUUUAUUGUAAUGACAUGAUCUAUAUCUCUUAAAGUAUUUAGAAAUCAAAUUUCAAAUGUUUCAACAUUAUUGCCCUAAUGAUCAAAGAAUUUUAAAUUUUAUAAUUUUAAUGGUCGAUAUAAGAUAUUUCGUUUAACGGCAUAAAGAUAUCCAAAUCAAUUGAAUUUUGGAUAGAAAAUUCUUUAAACUAUUUAAAACAAAUCUAUAUUUUUUAUCGUAAUUACAAGACUCUUAUCAUCACUUUUUAAAGGAUAUCAAUUUUUAGCCGUACAUUUUUGUGUCCGCUCAAGAAAACAAUAUCAAAAAAAAUAUAAAAUUUGAUUACUAGAUACUUCAAGUGGUAUAAAUCAUAUUCAACGGUAUCGAUCGUUGAUUUGGAGGCUCCAUCAUCGAAAACAAAUGUAUGGCAACGGAGCCCAUUUGCUACUGAUAGUAUUUCAGCUCAACUCUCUCUCUCUCUCUCUCUCUCUCUCUCUCUCUCUCUCUCUCUCUCUCUCUCUCUCUAUAUAUAUAUAUAUAUAUAGAGUCCGGUUGCUAUACUACGGUAGCACGGAGGCUUUCAUGCUACCAAAUUGUUUUCAAUGAUGCGGCAUCCAAAUCGACGAUCUGCUCCGUUAGACUUGAUCUACAAUAUUGAAAAUAUUUGGAAACUAAAUUUCAGAAUUUUUCGACAUCAUUUGGCUAGUGAUCAAAAAGUCUCAAAAUUGAUAAUUUUAAUGGUAGAUGUGAUGCAUUUGUAAAUUUAACGGUGUAAAACAAUCCAAAUCAGAUGAAAUUUUUAUAGAAAUUUUUUUUUACUAUUUAGAGUAAGAUCAAUACCUCUGAUCUUAAAUUCAAGUCUUCUAUCAUCAUUGUUUAUGAGAUUUUUAUUUUCAGCCGUUCAUUUUUAGACUACUCGCUCGAUAGGUAAAUGAUACCGAAAAAUUAUGAAAUUUAGUUUCCAAAUACUUUCAAUAGUGUAGAUCAAAUCUAACGAAGCCGAUUGUCGAUUUGAAAGCGGCAUCAUUCAAAACAACUUGGUAGCACGGAAGCGUCCGUGCUACCGAUAGUAUAGCAGCCUAGCUCUCUCUCUCUCUCUCUCUCUCUCUAGCUCUCUCUCUCUCUCUAUAUAUAUAUAUACUAGUUGAAUAUACGUACAAAUGUACGUGACAAUUAAUUAUUUAAUAAUUAUUUUAAAUUAAUAUGAAAUUGUACAUCAUAUUUAUUAAAAAAUUUACAAUUUUUUAAAAAGUAAAUUUAUUUAUUAUAUACUAUUAGAAAAUACCUACCAUAUUUUGUCAACAAUAAUUAUAUA
rnacentral:lncRNA from 1 species